rnacentral:rRNA from 1 species
GACGAACGCUGGCGGCGCGCCUAACACAUGCAAGUCGAACGAGCGAGUGAGAGCUUGCUUUCUCGAGCUAGUGGCGAACGGGUGAGUAACGCGUGAGGAACCUGCCUCAAAGAGGGGGACAACAGUUGGCAACGACUGCUAAUACCGCAUAAGCUCACGGGUCGGCGUCGGCGCGAGGGAAAAGGAGCAAUCCGCUUUGAGAUGGCCUCGCGUCCGAUUAGCUAGUUGGUGAGGUAAUGGCCCACCAAGGCGACGAUCGGUAGCCGGACUGAGAGGUUGAACGGCCACAUUGGGACUGAGACACGGCCCAGACUCCUACGGGAGGCAGCAGUGGGGAAUAUUGCACAAUGGGGGAAACCCUGAUGCAGCGACGCCGCGUGGAGGAAGAAGGUCUUAGGAUUGUAAACUCCUGUUGUUCGGGAAGAUAAUGACGGUACCCAACAAGGAAGUGACGGCUAACUACGUG